rnacentral:rRNA from 1 species
CCUGGUGACCAUAGAGAACUAGAACCACCUGAUCCCUUACCGAACUCAGUAGUGAAAUGGUUCAUCGCCGAUGGUAGUGUGGGGUUUCCCCAUGUGAGAGUAGGUCAUUGCCAGGC